AGGCGGCCGCCGAACCCGCCGCAGAUGGGCCGGCGGCGUGACGAGCCCGAGGUGGGCAGCACCACGCCGCUUGGGGAGCCGCCGCCGCACAUGCCGCCGCAUCCACACGACCCAGCAUCCUACCACUUAUGGCAUCCGCUGUUUGGCAAAUUUUUGUAGGAGAAAAUUCAAUUGGAAAUAAUAUCCAAAAGGGGUACAACAGCCCAUGGAGUUGGACAACAGUGACCGCGACGGGCGACUGACCGCGGGCCCCGCGCGGGCCGGCGCCCGCGCACCCCCAGUAACGCGGGACGGGAGGGGGCGGGCGGGGGAGAGUGAGGGUGCCCAGUGGUUCCUAAACUGUAGGGUUGGACUUGAUACCCCUUGAUAAAAAUGCGCGGCAAACGUUAAUCGGCCGAUGUCGUUAUUUUUUUAAAUAGUUGAAUUUACGUGAUUGGUUGGCUUAUUCGGUUAUUUUUAAUCUAUUUUGUUUUAAGGAAAGCGUAGGUGUUCCUAUACCGUAGAUUGGAAACUUUUUGUUCUAUCGAUACCUAAUUUUGUUACAAUUGGGUAUUAAGCCCUAAACUUUUGAUUUGAAUUAAUCCAGUAGUAAGUAGCGUAAAUUAGAAAAGACAAAAUAGUACCUUUUUUUUUAAUUAGUACCUACGCCAUUUGGACUAUUCAAAUAAGCUCUUAUGAAUUUAGUUUGCAAUUAAAAUAUUCAAAUAAGAACAAUCUAAGACCAGACAAAAUGUAACAACGAUACUUUUGGAAAAUAAUACGCUUACAAAAUUCAAUUUAGUAAUUUUAACAAAUUAUUUUCGUUAAAUUUGCGUGCCAUUAAAUUAGAGAGGGGUAAGUUUGUAACAGUUUGGGAACCACUGUCGUAGGGACUUGAUUUAUAGAAUCAAUGUCAUACCUUUCUCAUGUUUGACAAGACCGCCUAUAAGUCCGACAAUCGAAACAACUGCUGACGGCUCUAAUACACCGAUUUCAAUCUUACGCCAUUGGAAACAUAGUACAUUUUAAAUGCAAUGAAGUCUUGUAGUAGUGCAUAAAUUAUCGCCGAUCUCAAAAGUGACAGUUCUGAAAUCGCAAUGUUACAAUUAAACGAUUGUAUCUGUACAUAAUAACUUACAAGAUUGAAAUGUUUAUUAAUAAAGUACAUAGAUUGAAAUUGAUAUCGUUAGUAAGACUAAUGACAGCAAAGUAGUACCUAACACUAAGUAAUCAAUUUGACUAGAAAGCAGUUAUCUUUGGGAAUGCAACGUCAUCGGUAGUGUACGUUAGAUCAUAUUACUUGCAUUAGUGCUCCUUCUUUCAUAGAGCAACGAUUCUGUUACUAAACCGAUGUCGAUGUGUUCCAAAAAGACGCCACAAAUUAGCUAUCCCAAUUAAUUUUACUUUCUCACCAUAAUUAACAACAAAUCACAAAAUUUAGUUUGUAU